rnacentral:tRNA from 1 species
AGCUCUAUAUUCUAAGGUAAGAUAGUGAGUUGCAACCUCACAGAUGAAAUAGUAUUUCUAGGGCCU